rnacentral:rRNA from 1 species
UAGGGAAUCUUCGGCAAUGGACGAAAGUCUGACCGAGCAACGCCGCGUGAGGGAAGAAGGUUUUCGGAUCGUAAAACUCUGUUGUUAGAGAAGAACAAGGACGUUAGUAACUGAACGUCCCCUGACGGUAUCUAACCAGAAAGCCAUGGCUAACUACGUGCCAGCAGCCGCGGUACUUCGUAGGUGGCAAGCGUUGUCCGGUGUUUUUGGGCGUAAAGCGAGCGAAGGCGGUUACUUAAGUCUGAGGUGAAAGCCCCCGGCUCAACCGGGGAGGGUCAUUGGAAACUGGGGGACUUGAGUGCAGAAGAGGAGAGUGGAAUUCCAUGUGUAGCGGUGAAAUGCGUAGAUAUAUGGAGGAAAACCAGUGGCGAAGGCGGCUCUCUGGUCUGUAACUGACGCUGAGGCUCGAAAGCGUGGGGAGCAAACAGG